rnacentral:tmRNA from 1 species
GGGGGUGUGCUGGAUUUGACAAUUAAUAAAAUUUAUUAGAUGCAGUGGUUUGGUAGACCAUAAAACCGUAUAAAUUAAAACGCAAAAAACUCGAAUAAAUCUAUAAACGAAGCUAAUUUUGAUUACAAUCUUUUAAAUAAUCAAUAUAAUUUCGCUUACGUUUAAUUUACUAAAAAAAGUUUCAUUUAGUAAAUAUCCUUUUUAAUUUUUAUAAUUUAAGUUUUCCUUUUGUAAAAAAUAAAUAGUGUAUAAUCUUUAUCUAUUUUAGAUUCGAUAAUUACUCGUUUUAAACUUUUCAACUCCUUUGAUUUAUUAAUUUUAUUCUUAUUCUUAAUUUUUGAUUUUUAAAAUCUAAACUGUAGACUCUAUUAAAUUUUUUUAUUUGGAUCGGGGUUCGAUUCCCCGCACCUCCACCA